ACAAGACUGGAAGGAGGUGAGACACACAAGGGAGGGACUUAAGCGGCGUGGAAGAAGGGUGGUCCGGGGGACCUGGUAUCCCAGGUAUGGGGCUGGCUUGCAGGUCAGCGCAUGGACAUCUUCCCAGAAAGCGACAAAGACGGCGAAGUUUGACGGUGUGGAGAACAGAGACCAGCCGGGCUGACUAUCUGCACCGAGUCUCCGGACAGCGCCUCUCGGGGUCCAGGAAGGGAAACACGACCCGCUUCAGCACAAGGUUCUGGACAGCUCCGGGCGGGGUCUUCGGCCGACUUCAUUUCAGCACCAGGAUACCGGACAGCUCCCCAGAUGAGAUAAAACCGCACACAGAAACCUGUAAUUCCCAACAGUGAAAUGACCAAUCUUUAGGAUUGUGGGGGAACAGGUUCCUGCCAAGAUGACAUUAUUGUGGUCUUUCUAGACUUCUGUGGGAAACAUUGUGUCAAGUGCUUUACAUACAUCAUAUCUUGCCAUCUUCAACCUUAGGACAUGGGGGUUAUGACAUCCAGGUGACAAUUGAGGAAACUGAGACCCAGAAAGAGGCAGAUAUAUAACUAGCCCAAGAGGUCUCAGGCCAAGGGGGAACCUGCAAGUCAACCCCACAUCCUUCCAAUUACAAAUUCCAUGUUUCAUGAGUGGGAGUUGGGUUCUUGGAGAUCAGACCCUUUCACUCCCCAGGAGGACCAGGAAUGGAAGACAGGAGGCAAUAGAGAAGCAAGAAGUCCACGUGUUACAACUUGGCUCAGUUCCAUGGACCAACUACAGGACAGUGUAAAUUUGUGGCUGGUAGGUGAGUUGUGGUAUCAUCAAGGCUCACUCCCAGUUCUCUGCGACAUCCUAAUCAAAUUAUAGACACUAGAUCAAAGUAAGUCCAGUCUCAGAGCCUUUGCCUUUGCUGCUUCCUCAUCUUGGAAUGCUCUGCUUCUCAGAGUGACCCAUGGCUCCCUCUGACUUAUUACCCAAGCUUCAUUUCAUCAAUAGAAACUUUCCUUGUAGCCUCACCAUCCUCCUUGUCAAGUCUGUAUACUCGCAUAGAUCUGGAUGUCUUCUCUCCAGCACUUACUCCAAUUAUUGUUAACUUGACAAAAACCAUCUCUUGUCCUCAUUAUACUGUGAGCUCCAUGAGGGCAGGAAAUGUAUGUGUGUUUUUUCACUUCUGUGUCCCCAGCACCCAAACCAUGGCUUGCCACACAGCAGAUACUGAAUAAAUGUUGGUUGAGUCAAUAAAGGCAUCAGGGAAUAAACCAAUGCAUUAAUCAAUAAAUGAACUGAUGGCCCUGGAUGCUGUGGCUCAGUGG